ACGAACCUAUGAGGUUAUGCCACCACAAAUGGGUAAGGGAUUGAAACUCUCGAGAUUUUCACUAUUGUCUGGUUCUGCCGUUCGCCGAUGAUCUGGUGUGCUUUUCAAAACCCAUCUUUUAUGCCCACGGGAGAUGGAAGCAGCUGUUUUGUUAGGAUGUGGCAAGAACGGUCCUCCUUUUUCAAUUGCAAAGCAAUCAUUACUAUGUUAUCGCGAGAAGGGCCUUCAGUUCAACAGGUAUAGUGUUAUCAAUGCAGUCGAUCUGAGCGUAGGAUCCUCC
rnacentral:lncRNA from 1 species